rnacentral:lncRNA from 1 species
CAGAGAGGGACAGAAGGGGCAACAGUAACAUAAGACGGUUGCACAUCUCGUGUUAUCAGUUAGUGUCCAGAUUGAUCCCCAUGUGUCCCUGUAGGGGUCAUGGAGUUCCAUCUUGGGCCUCUGGUGCGACUGCUGGGUUUCUGAGCGCCAGGUUAAUGGAAACUGGAUUGAGAUAAUCAUGCAGGACUUAAAGAAAAGCUAUCACCUGUCCCUAACUUUCAGUGGCUACUGACCCAUGCACAAAUAGUAGUUUGAAAAAAGAAGGAACGAAAAUUGAAAACUACUUGGAACAGAGCUAUUCAGGCGGUAACUCUGCUCUGGGGGCACUUGGAGAAAUCCCAAGGACACUGUAGCACGAGUGACUACAUUUUCACUCUGCAAUUGCUCUGGAUACUUGGAAGGAAUUUCAGAGGCAAGCAAUUCCAUUUGGAGUCUACUGUCACUUGAUGCCAACCUGGAUGCACAUUUGUGUCCAGAUAUGGGAGAAACUGAUUCCAAACUGCACACUACUGGAUUCCAGCUUUUUUUGUUCUUUCGAGUGGUUUUGCCUUCUAAGUCCAACGUGAUCUACAUCAAAAGAAGGAUGACAAGGCUGGAUAUCCCUGUGGUUUUUAAUGUAAAGAAAAGCAAAGCAAACUGCUUCCACUAUAGUUUUUGAUAAAACCUUCCUGGCCUUGUGUAUCCACCAUAAAAUAAAAUAAAA